UACGUAGGGUGCAAGCGUUGUCCGGAAUUAUUGGGCGUAAAGCGCGCGCAGGCGGUCCUUUAAGUCUGAUGUGAAAGCCCACGGCUCAACCGUGGAGGGUCAUUGGAAACUGGGGGACUUGAGUGCAGAAGAGGAGAGUGGAAUUCCACGUGUAGCGGUGAAAUGCGUAGAUAUCAGGAGGAACACCGAUGGCGAAGGCAGGUCUCUGGGCUGACACUGACGCUCAUGCACGAAAGCGUGGGGAGCAAACAGG
rnacentral:rRNA from 1 species